CUGUGCCUCUUAUUUUUGUCCUAUUAACGAAACCCUCUUCUUCAACUCCUUUUUAUUUUACCCAACAAAUCAUUCUCUUCAUCAUCACAUAUUCUAAUCUCUAUCCCUUUCAUCUUUUUCUCUGUUUUCCCCCCAUAAUUUUGGGGGGGAAAUACCAUCUAACGGGAGAGAGAGAGCUUUUGUAUUGCGGGGAAUGUUGUCUGGCUCGAGGAAUCAAAAAUUGUUUCUUAUAGAUAGAUCUGUAAAUUUUGUUUAUAGAUCUAUAAUGUUUUUGAUGUCGUCGGACCAGGCUUCAUUCCCCACAAUGAAUAUUGCUCUCUCACAACACUAAUUUAAUUAGAUCCGUUUCAACAUUUUACUGAUUUUUGAUUGAAGUUUGUGAUGGUAAAUUGUGUGGACAUGAAAGAAGUGGGAAACUAUAGAGGUUCAUUGCAUUAUUGGCAUUCAUCUUCUUAGAGUAACUAAUAUAGGUUGUAAAUGUAGAUGUAUGAAGUCAUUUACAGAGGUCGACUAGUGUUAAAAAAAAUAAAAUAUGGAGUAUAAAAAGUGAGUGAAAGGGAAUACUGUUUGUGGAGAUGGAAUCUUUUUGACUUUGUAAAUCAAUAAAGUGGAGGAGGCUGUACGCAUAUUUGCCUUUUUGCUUUUGCUUUCCUUUAUUUCCACAAACAAACGUGUACACAAAAAACUAGCUGACAAAAGUUUGCUUGAUUUUUAUGAAUUCUCUCUUCCUUGGUUCCUGCCAUCAGGUUAA